rnacentral:rRNA from 1 species
GAUGAACGCUGGCGGCGUGCCUAAUACAUGCAAGUCGAGCGAACGGACGAGAAGCUUGCUUCUCUGAUGUUAGCGGCGGACGGGUGAGUAACACGUGGAUAACCUACCUACAAGACUGGGAUAACUUCGGGAAACCGGAGCUAAUACCGGAUAAUAUUUUGAACCGCAUGGUUCAAAAGUGAAAGACGGUCUUGCUGUCACUUAUAGAUGGAUCCGCGCUGCAUUAGCUAGUUGGUAAGGUAACGGCUUACCAAGGCAACGAUGCAUAGCCGACCUGAGAGGGUGAUCGGCCACACUGGAACUGAGACACGGUCCAGACUCCUACGGGAGGCCGCAGUAGGGAAUCUUCCGCAAUGGGCGAAAGCCUGACGGAGCAACGCCGCGUGAGUGAUGAAGGUCUUCGGAUCGUAAAACUCUGUUAUUAGGGAAGAACAUAUGUGUAAGUAACUGUGCACAUCUUGACGGUACCUAAUCAGAAAGCCACGGCUAACUACGUG